GUGUGUGUGUGUGUGUGUGUGUGUAAGGAGGGCUGCAGCCUCAGCAGCGCCUCCUGCUGGGUGACUAGAACGGGCGCCGCCACGACACCGUAAGGUUCACUCGCACAAUGACAGGAAGACGAUCAUUUGCCUCCUCCCUCCUAUGUUUACGUUAAGAGGCAGCGUGGCGCGGCGGCCACCACCCUUACACGCACGCACGCACCUCGCGCGUUCAAGACUCUCUUGGUCUGCCGGUACAACGAGACGGCCAGGUGCUGCCGCGGCUCCUAUUGUUGUUGUUAGUGGUGGUGCUGCUGCCUCCGCCACCUCCACCGCCGCCGCCGCCGCCGCCGCCGCCGCCGCCGCCACCGCCACCGCCGCCGCCGUGUGCACACCGCCACUCCACACAUGCACUGCAGCGCCGCCCGCCUUGCAUGCAGCGCACCGGCCCGCGCUCAAGGCCAGCCCCGUCGGCGCGCCAUGUCCCUCCCGAGACUAGGCCCUCCAGCAGCUGCUGCAGGAGCAGCAACAACAGCAGUGUCGUCGCAGAUAGUAGUGGCUGCCAGGGUCGCUCUUGCCCUGCCGGCAGCCAGUGCGCCGCCACCAGAUACUAAGGACCCUGCCGACAACCUGACGGCGAUGAAGUCCUGCGGGCCGUGACACAGGGUCGCCACCUCUGUCUGCACUUCCUCGCACCCCACACUCCCCCGCAGCCAAUCACAAGCCUUGCAGAGAGUCCAAGCAAGAUCUUACUGGCAAACUGUGUGGUCCCCGGAGUACGGUGCGGGGAUGCUCUCCUGGCCGACCCACACACAACACUCGUCUGGAUGCUGACAGUGAUGCAACUAGUCACUACACACACCAACAUACGAACACACCAACUUACAUACAUAUGCACGCACUAAAAUCGCACAAAACACAUGCACACCUCAAUCUGUUACUUAAAGCACGGUCAUUUAUAUGUGUGUUUCAGUGAGAAAACGUGGAACUUACGUAUGUAUGCGUAUGUUUUUUUAUUUUAUUUUAAUUUUUUUUUACUGUCGUCUCUGUCUGAAUAACAACGUUUUUUAUAUCUCACCUGUAUUAAGUUUUCUAGCUGUGACUCGAACGUUAUAGUGCUCGUUCUGUGGCAUCCCAUGCUCGUCCAUAUUGCAUGGGAAGAGUCAAUGUUUAUGGUACGUCGGCAGCAUGCAAAUCCAGCCCAGCGAUCCGGGUCCCCCGUCCCACAGUGUGGUUCAAGUGUUACGUCAACAAGUACACGUUGAACCUAGUGAUAACAUAAUGUAUUUCUUAAGGAAGAAUGUUUAAGAAGACCAUCUAUAAAGUGGGAAGAUAGAGUGUAAGAGUAUGUGUGAGAGAAAUGGUAGACUGCAGGAAGAAAGGAGUCUAGCUCAAACAAACUAAGCUAAUAGCUCUAUAAGCGUUUAUUAAACCAGUGCAAUCGACACUAUCGGCGCAUUCCAGCCUGAAAAUGUUCCUUGAGAAAAAAAACCACUGUGUUAUACUUUCUGAGUCCCACAGCUGCGGCAUUAGAAGAAAUGGACAAUUAUUUAACGAGACUAGCGAGGACUGGCAAGUGAAUCUCAAAAUAUGGCAUUGAAAUCCCAUAGACUUCUCACCACUUCACCAUGGCCCACAUGCAGAUGCUCUCACCGCAGGAGCACCGCACAGCGACCGUCAAAACUAAAGCAAAUUAACUCUACGGGCGUCACAACACUACAGUCCGUUUUAUGCCUGUCUCAUAUUCUUGUCUCGCACUAAUAAUGUUCGUUCACGCCUAUCACCUUUUUAACUUACCUCGUUUAAAAAUUAUCAAGUGACCUUCAGGCAA